ACCAGCACUAGGCCGCCUAUCAUUGCAAAAAAAUCAAUUAACAACAAUACAGCAAGGAACAUUUCAAGACCUACCAUCGCUUAACCUUCUAAGUUUGAGAUCAAACAAUCUGACAUUGAUCAGGAAAGACACUUUCGAAAAUCUUAC